ensembl:lncRNA
GAGGAUUUAUUUUUUUAAAGUACAAGAAUUCUUUUGAACCCUCCAUGGCUCCAUGACAAACUAUUUGAAAUGUCCCUGCUUAAGGGGCCAGGGGGUUAAGUGCCAGGGAUGGUAGGCUAAAUGCCAGGGAUGCUGGUUGCAGGGAUUCUUGGGACCCGGGCUAAUGGCCUCCCUGCUGUGGGCCCAGGAAUACCAGGCCCGGGCUCUGGUUGCCCUGAGAGAUGCAGCCAUUUUUACUUCUGAUUGAAGGGCACCCCCUUCUGGGAUUUUCCCUUCUCUGGUGAAAACCAGAGUAGAAUAUGCCCAGGGGACCAACAGGGCAUCUGCCCAAGAGUCUGGAGGGCACUGACAGAGAUAACACCGUGAGGGAGGGUGAGACCAAUGCUUUAUAUACGUAGUUUAGAAUUUGAUCCCUGCUGGUAGAAAGAAGAUGUGCUUUGUGAGAGCCUGUGGUAAUUGCCCUUCGUAAGGAUGGUCUCAAAAGGUCAAGGGAUGGGCCUUGAAUAGCCCUAAUGUCCCUGAAACGGUCUAUUGUAUAGCUAUUGUCUCUACAUGGAAAGGAAUACUUGUCUUUUUUUGCCUCUGUGGUUUCCUAAGUGAAUAAUUACAUACUACCUUAUCUCCAGACCCAACUCUACCUCCUUUAAGCUUCAACAACAAAAGAGUUCAACACACAUUUCUUGAGCUCCAACUAUGUGCCAGGUAUCAGGCUAUGUGCUGGGGAUACAGAGGUGAAUAAUACACAGUCUUUUCUCUGGGGAAUCCACAGUCUAGUUUUCGAAAGAUUUUCCUUCACGCUGACCUUUUGGCGUUUUGUAAACAAAUCUGCAUCUAGCCCCUUUAUAUUUUCGUAUGCAUGGAUCAUAUCCUUAGCCUCCAUCUUUACAAUCUUCUAAAUUUUGCUUCAUCUGCUAACCGCUGCUUUUCCCUUGACCAAUUUAAAUGACUUUCUCUGGACUCUGGUACAUCUUCCUCUGGAGCUAAGUGACCAGAACUAGGCACUGUAUUUCAUAUACAAAUGCUGUAUGAAUGUGUGUACAAGAGUAACACUAUGUUUUCUAACUUUGUUUAUCUACUCGCCAUUCAUUCAUACAUCCAGUAGUGACUGAGUGCACACCGACCACCAUGCACUGUGCCAGGUGCUGAGGGUGCAGUGGUAAAGUAAAAUGGACACUGCUGUAGAAGGAGAACAAUUACAACGGUCUGAACGGCUCGGAACUUUCCCAGUGUCCCAGCAUGAUGUGGCUGUGUCUGGCUGGCACUUGGGAGGCCAGCCCCAGCCUAGCAGCCCUCAGGCCCUUGGAGAAUGUGGUUUGGUGUGGUGACAUCUACUGGCAAGGCUAGGCAGAAAGAAUAAAUCAGGAAAGAUUUUUGGAAGAAAGUAAAUUUUAAAGAAGGUUGGGAGACGCAUCCAGGCAGGAAGAAAAGCCUGUGCAAAAGCAUCAAGGCAAGAAGAACAGCAGAGCCACCCACGUGAAGUCUUGGCGGAUGAGGAUGGGUAGGGGGGCAACGGGUCAAAGGCUUUGAAACCAACAUCAGCUCCUGCUUCCAGAGCUAACUGUGUCAUGAUGCAAAUGACACCCAAAGUAAAGAUUAUAUUUGGUUCAAAAAGAGAAAGGAAG